AGGAGCAGUCUGACAGGGAAUGGCAGAGCCCCAUUACAUGGCACAGAGGGUGGCUGGGUUCCAGCUCGUCAGUGUAAGUCAUCAGAACUUAUCAUCUGAAUAGACUAUGUCAACAGAUCUUCCUUACAGUAGAGUACACCUGGACUGGAAAGAUGAAACAGCAAGAAUUGCCUUUUUUUGUUCUGUGGAGGAUUUACUUGCUCU